rnacentral:rRNA from 1 species
UGGGGAAUAUUGCACAAUGGGCGCAAGCCUGAUGCAGCCAUGCCGCGUGUGUGAAGAAGGCCUUCGGGUUGUAAAGCACUUUCAGCGGGGAGGAAGGCGAUAAGGUUAAUAACCUUGUCGAUUGACGUUACCCGCAGAAGAAGCACCGGCUAACUCCGUGCCAGCAGCCGCGGUAAUACGGAGGGUGCAAGCGUUAAUCGGAAUUACUGGGCGUAAAGCGCACGCAGGCGGUCUGUCAAGUCGGAUGUGAAAUCCCCGGGCUCAACCUGGGAACUGCAUUCGAAACUGGCAGGCUAGAGUCUUGUAGAGGGGGGUAGAAUUCCAGGUGUAGCGGUGAAAUGCGUAGAGAUCUGGAGGAAUACCGGUGGCGAAGGCGGCCUCCUGGACAAAGACUGACGCUCAGGUGCGAAAGCGUGGGGAGCAAACAGG